AUGCUCGGGAGUCUGUCGUCGGAGAACCCCUGCGUGAAGCUGCAGACGCCGGUGGAACUGGACAAGGAGUUUUGCUUUUACGUGGUACGUCUGGAAGACGGCUACGCCGUCGACGAUGGCGAUGACACGGACGUGGACGCCGAUGCGGCAGUCGUCGAGUUCCAGGGUUUCGCUCUAGCUCCGCCGUCUCUCCACACUGAGGAAAAUGACAAUGACGACCACAAGGAGGGUCAGGAGACUGAUGGCGAGAUUCACUCAGACGUGGCCAGGGCGAGCAGUGCCGGCGGCAACGGCAAGGACGUUCGACAGGUUGUAGCUAGAGGAAUCUUUGGGAUUCUUACGCUUGUUGUUUCUAUGCUGGCAAUGGCAUCGAUGAUGUAA
rnacentral:rRNA from 1 species